UCAGCUGCAUGGUUUAUAGGGCCAGGCUAACUGCCCUGUAACGUUAACUUCUAGGCUAAUCUUUAUUGCUGGAUUCAAAUCAAUUGCAAUUUUAAAAUUUCGCUUCAUCACAAGAAGAAUUAGCUUCCUCCUAGAGGACACGAAGAAUUAUUUACUCCGGAGAUAAGACAGGAAAAAGUGCGUGAAAUGGUUUAUCCAAAUACAUAUUGGAAUUUGUCGGACGAUGAGGGUGAUGAUGUGGAGAAGAUGGAGAUCAAGAAUGAUAGUGAUCAGAUGCAAGACUGCUGCCCGUCUCAACCGCCAUGUGUUGAGGAGGAGGAUUGGGAGAGUGAAAUCAUCCAGCUAAGUAACGUUAUACCUUAUGGACCAGAGGACCUUAUUAUGGAAGACCCCCAUCUUAAAAUGCCAUUCCACGUCCCUGAUCACAAGUUGUCUGAGGUAAAAUACAAUCCGUCGAUUCACCAUGUACCACCAGUGCGUUGUAUUCCAGCCCAGAAAGCGGUCCUGGAAGGAGAUCAGUUUGAGGAUGCAGAGGAGUAAAGAAAGCUUCAUUGGGAAUAUUUUUGCUUCCCUCAGCACUCUGCACUUCGGUCUGCGAGUCUGAAGGAUGAUAUUUGUGAAUAAAGUAAAUCAAGUGUGAGAUUUAUUCCGAACAUGUAAUCACUCUUUAUUUUUAACAAAAGCAACACUUGUCAGAUGAAGAAGGAGGAUUAUAGCCUAUUUAUGUUUCUGGCAUUUGAAAGACAUUUAUAAGGAGGCAUUAGAGCAGAGCAAGGACAGCCUGGAUAAAAUAUCGAGGAAGAGGUUGUGGAUCAUAUUUAAAAUUUUUGGGUUGUAGGCCUAAUGCAGGCUUGAAAAAUCAUCAUAUUUCUUUGAAAGGAAAAGAUGCAUCCAACUUUAUAGAGACCUAUAAUAAA